GAUGAACGCUGGCGGCGUGCCUAAUACAUGCAAGUCGAGCGAACGGACGAGAAGCUUGCUUCUCUGAUGUUAGCGGCGGACGGGUGAGUAACACGUGGAUAACCUACCUAUAAGACUGGGAUAACUUCGGGAAACCGGAGCUAAUACCGGAUAAUAUUUUGAACCGCAUGGUUCAAAAGUGAAAGACGGUCUUGCUGUUACUUAUAGAUGGAUCCGCGCUGCAUUAGCUAGUUGGUAAGGUAACGGCUUACCAAGGCAACGAUGCAUAGCCGACCUGAGAGGGUGAUCGGCCACACUGGAACUGAGACACGGUCCAGACUCCUACGGGAGGCAGCAGUAGGGAAUCUUCCGCAAUGGGCGAAAGCCUGACGGAGCAACGCCGCGUGAGUGAUGAAGGUCUUCGGAUCGUAAAACUCUGUUAUUAGGGAAGAACAUAUGUGUAAGUAACUGUGCACAUCUUGACGGUACCUAAUCAGGAAGCCACGGCUAACUACGUG
rnacentral:rRNA from 1 species